rnacentral:rRNA from 1 species
UAGGGGAUAACACCUGGAAACAGAUGCUAAUACCGUAUAACAGAGAAAACCGCAUGGUUUUCUUUUAAAAGAUGGCUCUGCUAUCACUUCUGGAUGGACCCGCGGCGUAUUAGCUAGUUGGUGAGGUAAAGGCUCACCAAGGCAGUGAUACGUAGCCGACCUGAGAGGGUAAUCGGCCACAUUGGGACUGAGACACGGCCCAGACUCCUACGGGAGGCAGCAGUAGGGAAUCUUCCACAAUGGACGCAAGUCUGAUGGAGCAACGCCGCGUGAGUGAAGAAGGGUUUCGGCUCGUAAAGCUCUGUUGUUAAAGAAGAACGUGGGUAAGAGUAACUGUUUACCCAGUGACGGUAUUUAACCAGAAAGCCACGGCUAACUACGUGCCAGCAGCCGCGGUAAUACGUAGGUGGCAAGCGUUAUCCGGAUUUAUUGGGCGUAAAGCGAGCGCAGGCGGUCUUUUAAGUCUAAUGUGAAAGCCUUCGGCUCAACCGAAGAAGUGCAUUGGAAACUGGGAGACUUGAGUGCAGAAGAGGACAGUGGAACUCCAUGUGUAGCGGUGAAAUGCGUAGAUAUAUGGAAGAACACCAGUGGCGAAGGCGGCUGUCUGGUCUGCAACUGACGCUGAGCUCGAAAGC